rnacentral:rRNA from 1 species
AACGAACGCUGGCGGCAUGCCUAACACAUGCCAGUCGAACGAGACCUUCGGGUCUAGUGGCGCACGGGUGCGUAACGCGUGGGAAUCUGCCCUUAGGUUCGGAAUAACUCCCCGAAAGGGGUGCUAAUACCGGAUAAUGUCUUCGGACCAAAGAUUUAUCGCCUUUGGAUGGGCCCGCGUUGGAUUAGCUAGUUGGUAGGGUAAAAGCCUACCAAGGCGACGAUCCAUAGCUGGUCUGAGAGGAUGAUCAGCCACACUGGGACUGAGACACGGCCCAGACUCCUACGGGAGGCAGCAGUGGGGAAUAUUGGACAAUGGGCGAAAGCCUGAUCCAGCAAUGCCGCGUGAGUGAUGAAGGCCUUAGGGUUGUAAAGCUCUUUUACCCGGGAUGAUAAUGACAGUACCGGGAGAAUAAGCUCCGGCUAACUCCGUG